rnacentral:rRNA from 1 species
UACGUAGGGACCAAGCGUUGUUCGGAUUUACUGGGCGUAAAGGGCGCGUAGGCGGCGCGGUAAGUCACUUGUGAAAUCUCUGAGCUUAACUCAGAACGGCCAAGUGAUACUGCAGUGCUAGAGUGUGGAAGGGGCAAUCGGAAUUCUUGGUGUAGCGGUGAAAUGCGUAGAUAUCAAGAGGAACACCUGAGGUGAAGACGGGUUGCUGGGCCAACACUGACGCUGGAGGCGACGAAAGCCAGGGAGCAAACGGG